GUGUGUGUGUGUGUGUGUUCUGGUAAUCAUCACGCGAUGGGGACCGUUGACUGUUUACACAGUCACGUCAUGGGGACCGGUUGCGCUUUGGGGACCAAAAUCCCGGUCCCCAUGAGGAUAACCCUUUUAAAUGACUACUAGAGCUACUCUGAAGGUGCCCGUGAAGUUUUAAGCAUUGGCCCAUACGACAUGUUUUUUGGUGAGUGUGAGUGUGUGAGCAUUGCUCAUUGGUGGCCCUACUGUUUCUAGUUAGUACUGCACCCACUGCUUCACACACACACAUCUUCCAAAUAUGGUUGGGUGCCACCCACUUCCUUGUCCCCAUUAGGAAUGAUUCAAGCAGCGAGGACAUUUUCAGCAUCAAGAGGUAGCUAUCAACAGUAAAAGAAGAUUAUUUGCUGGAGAAACUAGCUAAGAAGAUAAGAACAUGUGCAGAGGAGCAAAAGUAAAGCAUAAGAAAUGCCACCACGGAUCAGCAAUUCAACAUGAUACACAUCUGCAAAUUAGAGGUCCAGUAUAUUUAUGCAGCAAAAGUAUUGAUGCCUUCAGAGAAGAUGGC